GGCUCAGGAUGAACGCUAGCGACAGGCUUAACACAUGCAAGUCGAGGGGCAGCACAGGUAGCAAUACCGGGUGGCGACCGGCGCACGGGUGAGUAACGCGUAUGCAACUUACCUAUCAGAGGGGGAUAGCCCGGCGAAAGUCGGAUUAAUACCCCAUAAAACAGGGGUCCCGCAUGGGAAUAUUUGUUAAAGAUUCAUCGCUGAUAGAUAGGCAUGCGUUCCAUUAGGCAGUUGGCGGGGUAACGGCCCACCAAACCGACGAUGGAUAGGGGUUCUGAGAGGAAGGUCCCCCACAUUGGUACUGAGACACGGACCAAACUCCUACGGGAGGCAGCAGUGAGGAAUAUUGGUCAAUGGCCGAGAGGCUGAACCAGCCAAGUCGCGUGAAGGAAGAAGGAUCUAUGGUUUGUAAACUUCUUUUAUAGGGGAAUAAAGUGGAGGACGUGUCCUUUUUUGUAUGUACCCUAUGAAUAAGCAUCGGCUAACUCCGUGCCAGCAGCCGCGGUAAUACGGAGGAUGCGAGCGUUAUCCGGAUUUAUUGGGUUUAAAGGGUGCGUAGGUGGUGAUUUAAGUCAGCGGUGAAAGUUUGUGGCUCAACCAUAAAAUUGCCGUUGAAACUGGGUUACUUGAGUGUGUUUGAGGUAGGCGGAAUGCGUGGUGUAGCGGUGAAAUGCAUAGAUAUCACGCAGAACUCCGAUUGCGAAGGCAGCUUACUAAACCAUAACUGACACUGAAGCACGAAAGCGUGGGGAUCAAACAGGAUUAGAUACCCUGGUAGUCCACGCAGUAAACGAUGAUUACUAGGAGUUUGCGAUACAAUGUAAGCUCUACAGCGAAAGCGUUAAGUAAUCCACCUGGGGAGUACGCCGGCAACGGUGAAACUCAAAGGAAUUGACGGGGGCCC
rnacentral:rRNA from 1 species